GGGAUUUGUUGGCACACAGCAGAGUUGAGAAGACAGUUCAUGUGCCUCCUUGCUGCUCCUUUCUCCAUCCCAGGGCCACCAUGUCCCCUGGCCACCAGCACCGUUCAGUCAGUGUGUAUGCUGAGGAACCACAGAGCCCUGUAAAGGCCCUCGUUUAGGUGGUUCAGAUUAACAGAACACAAACAGAUUUUGAAACCUGAGAAGUUGCCAUGAAACAAACUCGCUGUUCGCCAGCCAGCUCUCCUUACGGGUCACGGCUAGCCCUUGCUGAAGCCUUUUGAAGUCAGAAAUUACACAGAAGAAGCAUCUGUCUCUGCAUGGAUUUGUAUGGAGAAAUGUGACUUGUGAUCACCUACGAAACAAACUUAACUCUUAGGUUUGUGAAUUCCCAUGUUCUGUCCCUCCUUACUCCCAGCAAAUACCUGCAAGAAACACCAC
rnacentral:lncRNA from 1 species